UGUCAAUGAUGUGUGAAUUUCUUCACCUGAAAUUACUGUGAAGGGUAAAACCGGAGCUUUUUAACACUGAGCCAC